rnacentral:rRNA from 1 species
UACGUAGGUGGCAAGCGUUAUCCGGAUUUAUUGGGUUUAAAGGGUGCGCAGGCGGAUUUUUAAGUCAGCGGUCAAAUCGUGGGGCUCAACCCCAUCCAGCCGUUGAAACUGGGGAUCUAGAGUGUGCGAGAGGUAUGCGGAAUGCGUGGUGUAGCGGUGAAAUGCAUAGAUAUCACGCAGAACCCCGAUUGCGAAGGCAGCAUACCGGUGCACAACUGACGCUCAGGCACGAAAGCGUGGGUAUCGAACAGG